rnacentral:lncRNA from 1 species
AUUCUCCUAAAGUAUUUCUGAAGACAAAGAAAAACUUGAGAAUUGUCUCGGAAGAUUUUUUCCACCUGAGCUGAACUGUUAAACCUGAUGUCUGACAGGUCAAGGAGGAUGACUAACUUGGUAAAGCUUCAACAAAAGCAGAAACCUCAGAAAAGCAUCCAUUAGAAGCCCAUCACUGAAAACACUCUGAAAUUCAGUAAGGUGAAUCAGUUCUUUUCAGGGCUACAAUUAGGCAAUCAGUUUUAUAUAGUUUAUUAAAGAUGUCCCAUGGCUGUGCUUCCUUGUGUUGUAUAGUAAGGUGUCUUAAUUAAGAUCUCUUGCCUGGAAUUUACUUUAAAAAGUGGCAAUAUUAAGUGAUAUCUCUGCCUAAUUUCACUGGGAAUUGUGGGAGGUACCUGUUCUUAACUGAAAGUCCAUGGCUGAGAAAGCUUUGGAUGCUUCACUUUCCCUGGUUUGUAGGUGAAAACUGAAGCUAGCAACAGACUGAUGAAAAUCUCCUGAAUGAAAUAUUUGCCUUUCUCUAAGGCAGCAGGGUGUAGGUGAAUCAAAAAGUGCCCAUCCCGUACUUGUUUGACUGACGGUUCCUGG